GUCUUAGCUCAGUGGUCAGAGCACCUGCUUUGCAUGCAGAGGGUCCCAGGUUCAGUCCCCGCGGGCAGCA